UACGGGAGGCAGCAGUGGGGAAUAUUGCACAAUGGGCGCAAGCCUGAUGCAGCCAUGCCGCGUGUAAUGAAGAAGGCCUUCGGGUUGUAAAGUACUUUCAGUCGUGAGGAAGGUGUUAAGGUUAAUAACCUUAGCAAUUGACGUUAGCGACAGAAGAAGCACCGGCUAACUCCGUGCCAGCAGCCGCGGUAAUACGGAGGGUGCGAGCGUUAAUCGGAAUUACUGGGCGUAAAGGGCACGCAGGCGGUUAAUUAAGUUGGAUGUGAAAUCCCCGGGCUUAACCUGGGAAUGGCAUUCAAGACUGGUUAGCUAGAGUCUUGUAGAGGGGGUAGAAUUCCAUGUGUAGCGGUGAAAUGCGUAGAGAUGUGGAGGAAUACCGGUGGCGAAGGCGGCCCCUGGACAAAGACUGACGCUCAUGUGCGAAAGCGUGGGGAGCAAACAGGAUUAGAUACC
rnacentral:rRNA from 1 species